GUAAUGACUUGUCGUCGUCAAACUCACCGUCGUCCACUUUGUGUAGGUAUAGUUUUCGUCUUCGCGGUGGCACACAAAUACUACCACCGGUGGUGUCACCACUAGGGGCACUGUCGG
rnacentral:antisense_RNA from 1 species